GGGACCGGGAGAAGUCGGAGGUACUCUUGGGGUAGGGGUAAAAUCCUAUCAUCCUGAGGACCACCUGUGGCGAAAGCGUCCGACUAGAACGGCUCCGACGGUGAGGGACGAAAGCUUGGGUCGCGACCCGGAUUAGAUACCCGGUUAGUCCAAGCCGUAAACAAUGCCCGUUUGGUGUAUCAUAUCCUAUGGGGAUGUGAUGUGCCGGAGCGUAGGUGUUAAACGGGCCGCCUGGGGAGUACGACCGCAAGGUUUAAACUUAAGGGAAUUGGCGGGGGAGCACCACAAGCGGUGGAGGCUGCGGUUUAAUUGGAUUCAACGCCAGAAAUGUUACCAGAGGCGACAGCAUGAUGAAGGUCAGCCUGAAGGGCUUACCUGAAGCGCUGAGAGGAGGUGCAUGGCCAUCGUCAGCUCGUACUGUGAAGCAUCCGGUUAAGUCCGGUAACGAGCGAGACCCACACCCUUAGUUGCCAGGUCACUCUCCGGAGUGACGGCACUCUAAGGGAACCGCCUUCGAUAAGAAGGAGGAAGGAAUGGGCGACGGUAGGUCUGUAUGCCCCGAAUCCUCUGGGCUACACGCGGCCUACAAUGGUCGGUACAGAGGGAUGCAACUCCGGAAGGAGGAGCCAAUCCCUAAAUCCGACCUCAGUUCGGAUCGAGGCUUGAAACUCAGCCUCGUGAAGCCGGAAUCGNUAGUAGCGCUGG
rnacentral:rRNA from 1 species